UAGCAUACUUAGAGCUUCCUUGGGUUUGUGGAGGACAUGUCCGGUUUCAGUAAGUUAGUUUCACUUUCACGAAGACAAUGGAAACGCAGAAAAAGGAAAGCAGGUGGAUUUAGAAAUUUCAACAUUGUAGAGCUCAGUUGAAAGGGAAAACAAGAUUUAUAGCAUCCAGCCAGAGUGGUGAUUCAAUUUUUGAUGAUUUGUACUUUGAUUGUGAGGUCGAUGAAGACAUGACAUGGAUUUGGGUGGGGCAGUGGGUUUGCUCGCGAGGAGGUGGGAAGGACGAAGAUAGUGGAAGAACCUUGAGAUGAUGAUGGUUAAGGUUCUAGAGCUCAUUGCUAUGAAAGGAGGCAUAGAUUUGAUUCACGGAAUUGCAACCAGAAUUGGAGUGAGCGUGAGUAACAAUCUCCUGCAGACAAUACAUUCUUUUGAAGCUACGGCUGCGGGAUCGUACGGCAAAAAAUUCCUUGUGCCUCGCCCGGUCUUCGCUGCCCUACUGGGCCACGGAUGGGUCUUUUCUUAUGGACCGUCCACGCAAAAAAAGUGAUGGAAGGUAGAUUGAGCUGAUAAAUUCCUGCACCCACCUUGAGGUCCAUAACAUUCUCCUAAUUAUAUGCAGCACAAUUCGUAUAGAUGUAUUUGUUUGAGGGAGAAGCAAUCAGAAGCAACAAUAUGUGAUCAUCAUGUGUGCGAGAGAUAUCAAGAGUAUGUGAUGAGAUGGCAAGAGUAUGUGAUAUGUAUUUCUGUCUACACUACUAAUAUCUAUUGACUGUUCAUGUUGAUACAGUAGGUUCAUGAUUGAUUAUGGAAACAAUAAAAUUACUCGAGAAAUAUUUUAUGUGUAUGUACUUUGAGACUCGAGAGGCUGUUAUUUACAGGGAUUCUCUGUCCACUAGAGAGGUUGGUGUCAAAUCAACAUCGGAACAAGGGCAUAUAAGUGGAAUGAGGUAAAGUCAUUUUUUCUCUGUCUCCAUGGUAUGCUGAUAUG